rnacentral:rRNA from 1 species
UACGGGGGGGGCAAGCGUUGUUCGGAAUUACUGGGCGUAAAGGGUGCGUAGGCGGCUUUCUAAGUUGGAUGUGAAAACUCUGGGCUCAACCCAGAGCCUGCAUCCAAAACUGGCGGGCUAGAGUUCUGGAGGGGGUAGCGGAAUUCCCGUGGUAGUGGUCGGAAAGUAAGCGGCUGAUGAAUGAAUUACGGGUACGGGAAAGG